rnacentral:rRNA from 1 species
CCUACGGGAGGCAGCAGUGGGGAAUAUUGGGCAAUGGGCGCAAGCCUGACCCAGCAACGCCGCGUGAAGGAAGAAGGCUUUCGGGUUGUAAACUUCUUUUCUCAGGGACGAAGAAAGUGACGGUACCUGAGGUAUAAGCCACGGCUAACUACUUGGCAGCCGCCGCGGUAAUACGUAGGUGGCAAGCGUUAUCCGGAUUUACUGGGUGUAAAGGGCGUGUAGGCGGGAAAGCAAGUCAGAUGUGAAAACCAUGAGCUCAACCUGUUACCUGCAUUGGAUACUGGUUUUCUUGAGUACUGGAGAGGCAGACGGAAUUCCUGGUGUAGCGGUGAAAUGCGUAGAUAUGAGGAGGAACACCAGUGGCGAAGGCGGUCUGCUGGACAGCAACUGACGCUGAGGCGCGAAAGCGUGGGGAGCAAACAGGAUUAGAUACCCCAGUAGUC